AUUGAACGCUGGCGGCAUGCCUUACACAUGCAAGUCGAACGGCAGCACGGGGGCAACCCUGGUGGCGAGUGGCGAACGGGUGAGUAAUACAUCGGAACGUGCCCCGUAGCGGGGGACAACCAGUCGAAAGACUGGCUAAUACCGCAUACGCUCCACGGAGGAAAGCAGGGGAUCGCAAGACCUUGCACUAUGGGGAGCGGCCGAUGCCCGAUUAGCUAGUUGGUGAGGAAAGGCUCACCAAGGCAACGAUCGGUAGCUGGUCUGAGAGGACGACCAGCCACACUGGGACUGAGACACGGCCCAGACUCCUACGGGAGGCAGCAGUGGGGAAUUUUGGACAAUGGGGCAACCCUGAUCCAGCCAUGCCGCGUGAGUGAAGAAGGCCUGGUGUAAG
rnacentral:rRNA from 1 species